rnacentral:rRNA from 1 species
UACAGAGGGCCCAAGCGUUGUUCGGAUUUAUUGGGCGUAAAGGGUGCGUAGGCGGCGCGGUAAGUCGGGUGUGAAAUCUCGGGGCUUAACUCCGAAACUGCAUUCGAUACUGCCGUGCUUGAGGACUGGAGAGGAGACUGGAAUUUACGGUGUAGCGGUGAAAUGCGUAGAUAUCGUAAGGAAGACCAGUGGCGAAGGCGGGUCUCUGGACAGUUCCUGACGCUGAGGCACGAAGGCGAGGGGAGCAAACGGG